rnacentral:misc_RNA from 1 species
AGCCUGCAAUGCCAGCCUCAGCCAACUGCUUUAACCACACCGGCAUAUAGAUAUAGAUAUAUAGAUAAAUAGCUAGACUCCCUCAUUGUAUAGCCUGAGAUCUAACUUGCUUGUACGAUAUCUAUAGAUGCCCUUUAACAGCUUAAACCUAAAGAUGAUUAGCUUUAACAAAAGUCGAAACAAACAAAAUACCCCUACAUGUGCAUUUUAUUACACAUAUACACAAAGAUAAGAGUCGAGAGACCCUUGAUCUGUGCUUUUCUGCUUCAAAAUUAAGCUAAAGAAGCAGCAGAAAUUGCGUACGGGUUGCCGAUCUAAGCCAGACCUUUUUCUUUUCAUCUUUCUUUU